rnacentral:rRNA from 1 species
GCGAGUGAAGCGGCAACAGCUCAAAUUUGAAAUCUGGCCCCCGGGUCCGAGUUGUAAUUUGUAGAGGAUGCUUUUGGUGCGGUACCUUCCGAGUUCCCUGGAACGGGACGCCAUAGAGGGUGAGAGCCCCGUCUGGUUGGACGCCAAUCCUUUGUAAAGCUCCUUCGACGAGUCGAGUAGUUUGGGAAUGCUGCUCUAAAUGGGAGGUAUAUGUCUUCUAAAGCUAAAUAUUGGCCAGAGACCGAUAGCGCACAAGUAGAGUGAUCGAAAGAUGAAAAGCACUUUGAAAAGAGAGUUAAAAAGUACGUGAAAUUGUUGAAAGGGAAGCGCUCAUGACCAGACUUGGGCCCGGUUGAUCAUCCAGGGUUCUCCCUGGUGCACUCUUCCGGCCCAGGCCAGCAUCAGUUCGCCGUGGGGGACAAAGGCUUCGGGAAUGUGGCUCCUCCGGGAGUGUUAUAGCCCGCUGCGUAAUACCCUGUGGCGGACUGAGGUUCGCGCAUCUGCAAGGAUGCUGGCGUAAUGGUCAUCAGCGACCCGUCUUGAAACACGGACCAAGGAGUCGUCUUCGUAUGCGAGUGUUCGGGUGUUAAACCCCUACGCGGAAUGAAAGUGAACGCAGGUGAGAGCUUCGGCGCAUCAUCGACCGAUCCUGAUGUUCUCGGAUGGAUUUGAGUAAGAGCAUACGGGGCCGGACCCGAAAGAAGGUGAACUAUGCCUGUAUAGGGUGAAGCCAGAGGAAACUCUGGUGGAGGCUCGCAGCGGUUCUGACGUGCAAAUCGAUCGUCAAAUAUGGGCAUGGGGGCGAAAGACUAAU